rnacentral:misc_RNA from 1 species
AUAUAAUUCCUAAGUUGAGUCUUCAUCCAAUACUGCAUCAAUAUGUUUAGGUGAGUUUUUUAUGGUUGGCACUUUUUCAUGGAAUAAGCUUUGCGAGUAAGGUUUCCAUGUUUGUCAGCGCCUCUAUGCUCAUGCCUUGCAGAAAUUUGGUGACAUUGGAUGUUUUGAUGUUAGUAGUAACUAUGAUUCUUUAACAUUCCCAUUCCCUCUUUUACCAAAAAAAAAAGUACUUGUUCAAAUGCAUCGACAAACUGUAUCAAAGCACACAUGCACCACAAUAUUAAUGGUUAAAUUUAAUGGGUCUUUCAAUGUGUUUCUGUAAUUUAUAUAAUGUUUCACUUUGAUCCCUGAAGUUUCAUGGUCUUCCACGUGUUCUUAAUUAAUGCUCUUCUAAUAAUUGCAAUGUGUUGAAUGGUCAUAGGAAAUGACAGAUCAGGAAUGGAAAAAUGGGAAUCAAGUUUUCAUUUUCUUUCUUGGGUUUUUGGGUUGCAUUUUAUGAGAAAUCAGGAAUAAAUGAGUCUCUCUUACCUGAUUUUCAUCUUUAAAUCUAGUUGUUACGAUUAGAAAUUGGAAAUGGUAAUGGGCCUUCAUUUGCAUUCCUACUCUUCUUCUCGUACUUGAUCCCUGCAUAGCAUACGCAUUGGUAUACUAAAUCAACUGCUAUAUAUAAAACAAGGAAAAGGAAAAAAGGCUUUAAACAUUGGAAAAGGGAGAUUCUGGUAGUACCCAGAAUUGGUGAACUGAGGGAGGCUUCUGGAACUGGCUUGAAGAAGAAAGUGAAAAGUGGAAUUUUAGAAUAGAGUCUUGCAUGACAUUGGUCGGAUGAUUACUUGGUGGAGGCAGUGCCAGACAAAUCAUACCCUUCCCAGGUAUUGGUGGUGUUUUAUUCAAAAUGCUGCUGCAUAGGGCCUCCUGAUCAAUUUUUGGCGUUGAAGCUUGUUGCUUUGCCCAAUGUUUGUCUUGAUAAUGAUCUUGUUGAUGAGGGAUCAAAUUGGUUGAUGAGUGGUCAAUGGGAAUUGGGUUUAAUUUGGCUUGAGGGAUGGUCUGCACAUGAAUCAUACUUGUAAUCACAGAACUAGAUGAUUCUGUUGAAGUAUAUUCUUUUUGCUCUCGUAAUUAUUUAAUUUUAGAGCUUUUUGUCCUCCUCUGUUGCUAUUAAGCUCUUAAGAAAUGUAAUUAAUGCAUUUGGACAACCCAUAAAUGCAGGGACCAAGCUUUGGAAAACCCCCUAAAUUGAGUCAGCUUAGAUUUAACAAGUAAAAUAUGAUUUGGAUCCAGA